rnacentral:rRNA from 1 species
AUGGGGGGACCAUCCUCCAAGGCUAAAUACUACUGACCGACCGAUAGUGAACCAGUACCGUGAGGGAAAGGCGAAAAGAACCCCGGAGAGGGGAGUGAAAUAGAACCUGAAACCGUGUGCGUACAAGCAGUAGGAGCUCCGCAAGGAGUGACUGCGUACCUUUUGUAUAAUGGGUCAGCGACUUACUGUUCGUGGCAAGCUUAACCGUAUAGGGGAGGCGAAGGGAAACCGAGUCUGAUAAGGGCGCAUAGUCGCGGGCAGUAGACCCGAAACCGGGUGAUCUAGUCAUGCCCAGGGUGAAGGUGCGGUAACACGCACUGGAGGCCCGAACCCACUCCCGUUGCAAAGGUAGGGGAUGAGGUGUGAUUAGGAGUGAAAAGCUAAUCGAACCCGGAGAUAGCUGGUUCUCCUCGAAAGCUAUUUAGGUAGCGCCUCAUAUGUAUCCUCUCGGGGGUAGAGCACUGUUAUGGCUAGGGGGUCAUCGCGACUUACCAAACCAUUGCAAACUCCGAAUACCGAGACGGACUGUAUGGGAGACACACGGCGGGUGCUAACGUCCGUCGUGAAAAGGGAAACAACCCAGACCCACAGCUAAGGUCCCAAAUUUUGUGCUAAGUGGAAAACCAUGUGGAAAGGCACAGACAGCCAGGAGGUUGGCUUAGAAGCAGCCACCCUUUAAAGAAAGCGUAAUAGCUCACUGGUCGAGUCGGUCUGCGGGGAAGAUUUAACGGGGCUAAGCACAGAACCGAAGCUUGGGGUGCAUACUUUGUAUGCGCGGUAGAGGAGCGUUCCGUAAGCCGUUGAAGGUGGAUUGAGAAGUCUGCUGGAGGUAUCGGAAGUGCGAAUGCUGACAUGAGUAACGAUAAUGCGGGUGAAAAACCCGCACGCCGAAAGCCCAAGGUUUCCUUGCGCAACGUUAAUCGGCGCAGGGUGAGUCGGCCCCUAAGGCGAGGACGAAAGUCGUAGUCGAUGGGAAGCAGGUUAAUAUUCCUGCACCUCGCGUAAGUGCGAUGGAGGGACGGAGAAGGUUAGGUGUACCAGGCGUUGGUUGUCCUGGGGAAAGGCGGUAGGUUUGGAUCUUUGGCAAAUCCGGGAUCCUUUAAGACCGAGCACCGAGACGAGCCUUUAUGGCGAAGUCACUGAUACCACGCUUCCAGGAAAAGCUCCUAAGCUUCAGCUUACGCAGACCGUACCGUAAACCGACACAGGUGGGUAGGAUGAGAAUUCUCAGGCGCUUGAGAGAACUCGGGUGAAGGAACUAGGCAACAUGGCACCGUAACUUCGGGAGAAGGUGCACCCUUUUUGGUGGCUCGUGCGAGCUAUAGCUGAAGAGGGUCGCAGUAACCAGGCCGCUGCGACUGUUUAUCAAAAACACAGCACUCUGCAAACACGAAAGUGGACGUAUAGGGUGUGACGCCUGCCCGGUGCUGGAAGGUUAAUUGAUGGGGUCAGCCGCAAGGCGAAGCUCUUGAUCGAAGCCCCAGUAAACGGCGGCCGUAACUAUAACGGUCCUAAGGUAGCGAAAUUCCUUGUCGGGUAAGUUCCGACCUGCACGAAUGGCGUAACGACAGCGGCGCUGUCUCCACCCGAGACUCAGUGAAAUUGAAAUCGCUGUGAAGAUGCAGCGUUCCCGUGGCAAGACGGAAAGACCCCGUGAACCUUUACUAUAGCUUUACACUGAACGUUGAGUUCGUCUGUGUAGGAUAGGUGGGAGGCUAUGAAACCAUGGCGCUAGCUGUGGCGGAGCCAUCCUUGAAAUACCACCCUGUCGUGCUUGACGUUCUAACCUGGGCCCAUUAUCUGGGUCGGGGACCGUGUAUGGUGGGUAGUUUGACUGGGGCGGUCUCCUCCUAAAGAGUAACGGAGGAGCUCGAAGGUACGCUCAGCGCGGUCGGACAUCGCGCACUGUGUGCAAAGGCAUAAGCGUGCUUGACUGCAAGAUCGACGGAUCAAGCAGGUAGGAAACUAGGACUUAGUGAUCCGGUGGUUCUGUAUGGAAGGGCCAUCGCUCAACGGAUAAAAGGUACUCCGGGGAUAACAGGCUGAUACCGCCCAAGAGUUCAUAUCGACGGCGGUGUUUGGCACCUCGAUGUCGGCUCAUCACAUCCUGGGGCUGUAGUCGGUCCCAAGGGUAUGGCUGUUCGCCAUUUAAAGUGGUACGCGAGCUGGGUUCAGAACGUCGUGAGACAGUUCGGUCCCUAUCUGCCAUGGGCGUUGGAGAUUUGAGAGGGGCUGCUCCUAGUACGAGAGGACCGGAGUGGACGAACCUCUGGUGUUCCGGUUGUCACGCCAGUGGCAUUGCCGGGUAGCUAUGUUCGGAAGCGAUAACCGCUGAAAGCAUCUAAGCGGGAAGCGCGCCUCAAGAUGAGAUCUCCCGGGGCACAAGCCCCCUGAAGGAACCAUGUAGACUACGUGGUUGAUAGGUCAGGUGUGUAAGUACAGCAAUGUAUUGAGCUAACUGAUACUAAUGAUCCGUGCGGCUUGACCAU